rnacentral:rRNA from 1 species
AGUGAACGCUGGCGGUAGGCCUAACACAUGCAAGUCGAACGGCAGCACAGUAAGGGCUUGCUCUUACGGGUGGCGAGUGGCGGACGGGUGAGGAAUACAUCGGAAUCUACUUUUUCGUGGGGGAUAACGUAGGGAAACUUACGCUAAUACCGCAUACGACCUACGGGUGAAAGCAGGGGAUCUUCGGACCUUGCGCGAUUGAAUGAGCCGAUGUCGGAUUAGCUAGUUGGCGGGGUAAAGGCCCACCAAGGCGACGAUCCGUAGCUGGCCUGAGAGGAUGAUCAGCCACACUGGAACUGAGACACGGUCCAGACUCCUACGGGAGGCAGCAGUGGGGAAUAUUGGACAAUGGGCGCAAGCCUGAUCCAGCCAUACCGCGUGGGUGAAGAAGGCCUUCGGGUUGUAAAGCCCUUUUGUUGGGAAAGAAAAGCAGCAGGUUAAUACCCCGCUGCUCUGACGGUACCCAAAGAAUAAGCACCGGCUAACUUCGU